rnacentral:rRNA from 1 species
CCUACGGGAGGCAGCAGUGGGGAAUAUUGGACAAUGGGGGCAACCCUGAUCCAGCCAUGCCGCGUGUGUGAAGAAGGCCCUCGGGUUGUAAAGCACUUUCAGUGAGGAAGAACGCCUGGUGGUUAAUACCCAUCAGGAAAGACAUCACUCACAGAAGAAGCACCGGCUAACUCCGUGCCAGCAGCCGCGGUAAUACGGAGGGUGCGAGCGUUAAUCGGAAUUACUGGGCGUAAAGCGCGCGUAGGUGGCUUGAUAAGCCGGUUGUGAAAGCCCCGGGCUCAACCUGGGAACGGCAUCCGGAACUGUCAAGCUAGAGUGCAGGAGAGGAAGGUAGAAUUCCCGGUGUAGAGGUGAAAUGCGUAGAGAUCGGGAGGAAUACCAGUGGCGAAGGCGGCCUUCUGGACUGACACUGACACUGAGGUGCGAAAGCGUGGGUAGCAAACAGGAUUAGAUACCCGGGUAGUC